AUCACUUGCCUACAGAGGAAGCGUGCGCUACGACGCCGAAAUUGAUGUGUAACGGCCAGUGUAGCUCUUUUGCUCGACAGAAUCACGUGUAUUUACGGUGAAAAAGAUGUCGUAUCCGAAAGGUGAUAAAAGUAAUAUGUCUCGUGCAUGUCGUUCGAAAAAAAGAAAAUUUCAAGAGAAUCAACAUACUGGCAAGAGAGAGUAGCUCCGAUUUAGACUCUUCAAGUUCGAGUGCUAGUGCUAGGAAACUUGCUACUGCUGACAGUGAUGAAGUGUCGAGCAGUCCUUUGCUUGCAUACCGCAUUAUUGAAUUUUUCACUGUGUUUAAUGCCCUAUCUGAUAUGUUAUGUUGUCAUAAUUGUAAGCAAAACGUGCGGUUCGAAGAAACAACAAUGCGAGGCUUGGGCUUCAAGCUCGUAUUUGUUUGUCGGUGUGGCAGACGUCUUGUAAAUUCAGGACCUCUUAUAAAUACAGGUUAUGAAAUAAACAGACGUAUAGUACUGGUAAUGCGUUUGCUUGGUAUCGGAAGAGAUAGUAUUAAUUUGUUUGUAAACUUCAUGGACAUCUGUAAAGGUCUUUCUCAAUCAUCCUAUGAUCGCAUUAUUGAAUAUUUCCAUGCGGCUAGCUCGUCUGUUUUCGAUUAUUGUUGUAAGAAAGCCAUAGAAGAAGAAAAAUUGGAAAACGAGAAACGUGAAAAGCCCCUUUUGCAUUUAAAAGUAUCCGGUGAUGGGAGCUGGAAAAAAAGAGGCUUUCAAUCUCUAUUUGGCGUAACUACAUUAAUUGGAUAUUUCAGUGGUAAAAUCGUGGAUUUAGCAGUUAAAUGCAGUUCAUGUUUUCAAUGUACUCGUAAAAAAACUGAAUUGAACACCGAAGAUUUUUUCACCUGGUAUAAAGAACACGAAGCAGUUUGCGAAAAAAAUCACGAAGGAUCUGCAGGCAAGAUGGAGGUCGACUCUGUGUUCGAAAUGUUUCAGCGAUCCGAGGAGAAGUACGGAGUAAAAUACAUUAAUUAUAUAGGAGACGGAGAUUCAAAGACAUUUAAGGCCUUACUCGAUGCUUCACCAUACGGAGAUCUCGUCGUGACAAAAAGCGAAUGUAUCGGGCACGUACAAAAGAGAAUGGGAAGCCGUCUUAGGAACGUAAAAAAACUGCACGGUAUUGGUGGUAAGGAUAAACAAAAGCAGUUUGUUAAACUUACCGAUGCGCUUAUCAAAAAGUUGACAACGUACUACGGCUUAGCCAUCCGGCGUAAUAUCGUCAGUGUAGACGGCAUGAAAAAGGAAAUUCUCGCAACUUAUUACCAUUUGUGCUCGACCGACGAGAACCCCAAUCACUCGUAUUGCCCGGACGGAGCGGAUAGCUGGUGUAAAUGGAAAAAAGCAGAGGCUACUGGAGCAGAUGUGAGUCUGAUUAAACAUCCCGCAGCUUUACACCCAGAUGUAUUGGGUUGGCAAAUAAGUUCGUUCGGUUUUUUGACUGGUAUAAAAUACAAUUUAUUUAAUAUACAAAAUAUAUACUAAUCAAUAAUGUAUUGACCAUUUUUUUCUAUGACUUCUUGCCAUCUUUUUACCAAUUUCAUAAUCCCACAUUCAUAAAAUAAUUUCUGAGGUUUACCGGCAAAAACUGAUCCAGUUGCGUUUUAACAGCUUCAUUAUUAGCAAAGUUUUUCCCGUUCAGAGAAUUUUGCAGCGACCGGAACAAAUGAUAAUCAGAGGGUGCCAGGUCCGGUGAAUAAGGAGGGUGAGGUAAAACAUCCCAGCCAAGCCUUAACAAUUUGUUCCGAGUAGUUAAUGAAGUAUGGGGUCUGGCAUUGUCGUGGUGGAAGACGACUCCUUUUCGAUUUGCCAAUUCUGGACGUUUUGAACGUAUUGCUUGAUUCAAUUUCGUUAAUUGGGAGCAAUAUACAGUUGAAUCGAUCGUCCUGCCUGAUGGUAAGAGCUCAUAAUAAAUGAUACCUUUAUAAUCCCACCACACUGAGAGCAUAAUUUUCUUCGGGUGCAAUCCUGCCUUCGAGGUUGUUUGUGGUGGUUCACUGCUGCUUCCCCAUGAUCUUUUACGUACUACGUUAUCGUAGACGAUCCACUUUUCAUCUCCCGUAACCAACCGCUUCAAAAAUGGAUCGUUUUCUUGGCGUUUCAGCAGCGCGUCGCAGAUGGAAAUGCGAGCGGUUAAGUUGGCCUCGGUCAAUUCGUGCGGCACCCAAACAUUGAGGCGAGAAACGUAUCCCAACUGACGCAAAUGGUUUUCUACACUUGUGUGGGAUAUAUUAAGUGUCGUAGCAAUCUCUCGUACUGUUUGCGAUGGAUUUUUGUCGACGGUAUUCUUUAUUACAGCUGAAUCAAUCUCUGCUGGACGACCAGAACGGGACGCGUCACUAACAUCAAAAUCUCCAGAACGGAAUUUGGCAAACCAUUUUUGACACACACGUUCUGUUAAAGCAUCGUCCCCAUACACAUUACAAAUCUUUUUAUGAGCUUCCGCAGCUCGUUUGCCUUUUUUGAAAUAAAAAAGUAAAAUAUGGCGAAAAUGGACGUUCUUUUCUUCCAUAUUUGCAACCGUGCAGUACGCACAAUACUCUGGUAUUAACCGGCGUAUGUUUACAAAUAGGUUAGGUGGAACGUCGCUUUUCAGCUGCGCAAGCGCGUUGUGCGAUAACGCUGUGGAAAAGAGAUAGCAGAACGAGUAAACCUACUCCGAUUAAAAAACAGAACGAACUUAUUUGCCAACCCAAUACAAAAGCAUUUACUGCCGAUUUAUCAAGAUUUGUCAAAAGACGACUUGCUGCCCCGUUGCUUAGGUGGUCACACGCAAAAUGCGAACGAGAGUUUUAACAGCACGAUAUGGCGCUUAGCCCCAAAAAAUUUACAUUCUGGUGUGAAAAUCGUUGAGAUUUCGGCUCAUAUUGCUGCUGGAGUAUUUAAUGAAGGUCUCACAACAGUUUUGAAAAUCAUGAAUGCCAUGGAGAUCAUCGUUGGUCGGCAGAGCCUUCAAUACACGCAGUUCAAGGAUUCGGAAAGGAUUAAGAGGCAAGACAUUCAGACUGAUCAGACCAGCAAGGAAGCCCGUAAGGCUCACAAAGAACUACAACAGAUGAACAACAGCAUGUACGAAGAGAUUGAAGGCCUUUUGUACGCCCCUGGAAUCGCUGACUGAGUCAUGAAAAUUACGACGUCCAGAGUGGUAGCCGUUUUUUUGUAGGUCUACUUUGCGCCAGCGCGCAGCCGCCAUUUUGUUUUGAAAAAUAAAAAAAAAUUUUUUUGAAUUUUUCAUUCUUAUCUUAACAAAUAUACAAAGUUUUGUAAUGAUUAAAUAAAACCUUCUUGGUAAAAAAAAUGUUUUUUAAUGCGUAAUUUCAGCCCGUCUAAUUGUAUUUACCCCCUUAAUGAAUUGCUAGUGCGACAGAAGCUGAG